rnacentral:rRNA from 1 species
CUGCUCAAUGAUUUUUUAAAUUGCUGUGGUAUUUUGACUAUACGAAGGUAUUGAAAUAAGGCUUUUAUUGGGUGCUAAGAGAAUGGUUGAACAGGGAUUUACUUUCUUUUAACUUUAAAUGGAAUUUAAUUUAAAAGUGAAGAAGCUUUUAUUAAUUUUUGGGACAAGAAGACCCUAUGAAUUUUUUUUUAUAAUGUUAUUUAUUGUUUUUAAGUAUAAAAAAUAAAAUAUCUUUAUAAGUUGAUUGGGGUGAUUUUUAAAUAAUGUUUAACUUUAAAAUAGGGAAAUUGGAACCAUAAUGUGUGGUUGUUUAAUCAAAAUACUCUAGGGAUAACAGCGUAAUUAUUUUGGAUAGUUCAUAUAGAUAAAAUAGUUUGCGACCUCGAUGUUGGAUUAAGAUACCCAUAUAAUGAAGUAGUUAUAUUAAGGAGUUUGCUCAACUUUUAA